rnacentral:lncRNA from 1 species
AGCAGUUGUAAUUAAGCCUGUAUAUGACCUUUUUUUUCUUACGAUCAAGAAUUCGUAUAUAUGUCACGUCAUAUUGACCUUUUUUUCACCGUUUUUAUAUCACUUUUACAACAAUCGGAGUGUAUUGAGGUGAUCAGUACAUAUUAAUAUGGCGCAACACACCCUCAAGGAGAUAAUUGACAACUUUUGUGUGGGAUAGCAAUCAUAAUAAUGACCAGGACUCUUACACAAAAUUGUCCCAAUUGUUAUCUUUACCAUAUACAUGUAUAAACCGUUUGUUUGUUUUUCAGUUUGGUAUGACAUCCAUAAUCAUUGAACUAGGACACAUUAGUACACAUCUUGUAUAGGGGAUAGCUGAUGCCCUUCUGUUGCUGGAUUUUCUCGCUGUGUUGACCCGUUUCUGACAUUACACUGUUUUCCGCUCUUUGGUUGGGUUGUUGUCUCUUUGACACAUUUCCUAUUUCCAUUCUCAAUUUUAUCAUGAAGUUCUAUCUAAUAAAUUAUUUGCAUAAGAAAAAUUCGAAAGUAACCGGUAUUAGCUCUUCGUCUUUGAAGAUGUACUUUUACUGAUAUGUCUAUAAAUUAUUAAAAUACUGGUAUAUGUUCACAUAAAACAGUAAAAAGAGAUGUGAUGCAUGCAUGUAAGUAACAAAACUACUACAAAAUAUGGGAAACAAGACUGGAUGAAGCCCAUAGGAGAAAGUACCAGGAAUUGGCAACAGACAUCCAAGAAAAGAAUUGCAUAACAUGGCAUUUUCCAGUGAAGGAAUGCUUUGUUUCACAAUUUUUUGGAGAGCCUUGGGGCCCCUAGGACUAACUAUACCAGUAAAAGAAAUCUUGGUUGAAAAUGUUGAGAGACAGGCAAAAUAAGCUUCUGGUUCGGUAUGGAAUAAGAAGAGAGAAGAGCAAUGGGAGAGCUAGCUGAUUCAUGGUUGAGCUUGAUCAACUCAGUCGGCGCACAUCCUGGAGAUUGUCGUGGACAGCGCCAAAACAGUCGAGGAGAGAGGAUCCACCUGAGGAUGGAACCAACUGAGCAUUAGAAACACUGUAUUAAAGGUAUCACUAUUUUUUUCAGCGCUAUCAGUAGUUAUUCGUUAAAGAGAGAAUAGUUAUAAUGAACAAAUUUAGGUCAUGCGUCAAUGAAAGAUUGGCCAGAAAAGAUAUGUAGAAUGUCUAGAAGUCAAGAUACGGUCUUCCACAAUUAACAAGUAUCUAUACCAUGUGUCAACUUCUUAAUUGUCACGAAUCGAACAGAAUAGAAGAGGCAGUUAAUUCACUUCCGUGUUAGCCAAUCAUUGUCGUAAGUUCUUAAUAAAGGUCUAAGUGAAUUGAUUAUUUUUUUUUUUGUUCAGCUUUUGCGAAAAUGAUAUGAAUUGAUUUUUCCUUUAUUGAUGCAAGGAACUAUGAAUAUAAGUGCACACAAAUCUGAUUACAAAGUAAUACUAGAAACGAGGUAGAACAUGCGUCUGACCGAAUGCUCUAAUUGUUUAUAAAUAUAUGCGUGUGCUUUAAAUAUAUCUCGGUCAAGGAUGUAGUUUCAUAUUUUUAAAAUUAAGAGCACGGGAAAAUAUAUCAAUAGUGUUGCAUUUUCUUCCAUACAUAUUUGGAAUGUGUGCUAGUCCUACGGCUACGUGGAAAAUUUAUGUAAAAAAUCUUUAUUUAAGUUCAAUUUUCCUUCAAGCAAAUAGACUAAGACAUAUGUGUAUUUGCAAGGUGACC